GACGAACGCUGGCGGCGUGCUUAACACAUGCAAGUCGAACGAAGUGGCGAACGGGUGAGUAACGCGUAAUCAACCUGCCCUUCAGAGGGGGACAACAGUUGGAAACGACUGCUAAUACCGCAUACUGAAGGAGGGGAUUGCGUCUGAUUAGCUAGUUGGAGGGGUAACGGCCCACCAAGGCGAAGAUCAGUAGGCGGUCUGGGAGGAUGAACGGGCACAUUGGGACUGGGACACGGGCCAGAAUCCUACGGGAGGGAGCAGUGGGGAAUCUUCCGAAAUGGACGAAAGUCUGACGGAGCAACGCCGCGUGAGUGAUGACGGCCUUCGGGUUGUAAAGCUCUGUUAAGCGGGACGCGGUACCGGAAUAGAAAGCCACGGCUAACUACGUGCCAGCAGCCGCGGUAAUUC
rnacentral:rRNA from 1 species